AUGACCGAAACCAUUGUCAAAGCACUUGAAAUGACUGGACAGAGAGGUAUCAUCAACAAAGGUUGGCGUGGCCUUGGAACAUUGGCAGAACCAAAAGAUUCCAUAUAUUUACUUGACAACUGCCCUCAUGACUGGCUUUUCCUGCAGUGUAAGGCAGUGGUACACCAUGGUGGUGCUGGAACGACGGCUGCUGGUCUGAAAGCAGCGUGUCCUACAACAAUUGUACCUUUCUUUGGUGACCAACCUUUCUGGGGAGAGCGGGUGCAUGCUAGAGGGGUGAAAGAAAAGGCUGUGGAGCUUCCCAAGGCCAUGGAAUCUGAAGACGGCGUAACGGGCGCAGUUAGGGCAUUCCUCAAACAUUUGCCUUGCAAAACAGAUGAAAAUUCACCCCCGCUGACGCAUGGCUUUCUAGAGUUCCUAGCCCCAAAAUUAUAUAAUUUUGUGGCGAGAGGUGAACUGGAGAAUGAGCUUUUCAUCUCCAACUGA
rnacentral:rRNA from 1 species